AUUUUAGUAGUUUAUAAAAAAAUGUUGAUUUUGUAAUUCAAUGAAAUCUUUUCUAGGUUUAAAAUAUCAGUAAAAAUG
rnacentral:tRNA from 1 species